CGGUGAAUACGUUCCCGGACCUUGCACACACCGCCCGUCAAGCCAUGGAAGCUGGGUGUACCUAAAGUCGGUAACCGUAAGGAGCCGCCUAGGGUAAAACUAGUGACUGGGCU
rnacentral:rRNA from 1 species